rnacentral:rRNA from 1 species
GACGAACGCUGGCGGCGUGCCUAAUACAUGCAAGUCGAACGAAGCUUUUUUAACUGGUGCUUGCACCGACUUAAACAACUGAGUGGCGAACGGGUGAGUAACACGUGGGUAACCUGCCCCAAAGCGGGGGAUAACAUUUGGAAACAGAUGCUAAUACCGCAUAACCACAGAAACCACAUGGUUUCUGUGUCAAAGAUGGUUUCGGCUAUCACUUUGGGAUGGACCCGCGGCGUAUUAGCUAGUUGGUAAGGUAAUGGCUUACCAAGGCAAUGAUACGUAGCCGAACUGAGAGGUUGAUCGGCCACAUUGGGACUGAGACACGGCCCAAACUCCUACGGGAGGCAGCAGUAGGGAAUCUUCCACAAUGGACGAAAGUCUGAUGGAGCAACGCCGCGUGAGUGAAGAAGGUUUUCGGAUCGUAAAACUCUGUUGUCAGAGAAGAACGUGUGCGAGAGUAACUGUUCGUGCAGUGACGGUAUCUGGCCAGAAAGCCACGGCUAACUACGUGCCAGCCGCCGCAGUAA